rnacentral:rRNA from 1 species
CCCUUAGAUGUCCUGGGCCGCACGCGCGCUACACUGACAUGUUCAACAAGUUUCUCCUAGUUCGACAGGACUGGGAAAUCUUUGAACGCAUGUCGUGAUAGGGAUAGAUCAUUGCAAUUAUUGAUCUUGAACGAGGAAUUCCUAGUAAACGCGAGUCAUCGGCUCGCAUUGAUUACGUCCCUGCCCUUUGUACACACCGCCCGUCGCACCUACCGAUUGAAUGUUUCGGUGAAGAUUCCGGAUAGGACUGAUUUGAUUUAUUUCAUUUCUGACCUAAAAGCUAUCUAAACCUCAACAUUUAGAGGAAGGUGAAGUCGUAACA